GGGGACUGGCCACUUCUGUGGCUAGAGGGGCUUACAGUUAUACUAUCUCACUUAUAGCUGUCUUCAAAUCCCAGGCUCCUGGAUAUGGAGAAUACAAUGAUGGCUGUCCAGGUUUGAAGCACAAACAAAAAGAGAUGAUGGUCAAGUUGGCAAAUUAUCCGGAUGAAAGUCUACUAGAAAGCCCUCGCCAAGGGAACUUCUCAGCCAAUGUUCUGCUCCAUGAUGACAGAAGAAGACCUUCACCCAAACCUUUUUUAAGAAAGAGAUUUAUUUGGGAAGGAGGAAUCAGGAGAGUGGCCGCCUCUGCCAGGGUGGAAAAGGACAGCUCACGACUGAGCAGGUAAAGGGGCUUAUACAGGGCUUCCUAGGGGCCUAGUUUCUUCAGGGAGAAGAUUUUCUGCUCUGGGAUAGGUUGGUUUUCCUGCUCAGGGACUGGUCAGUAUGGUUGGUCAGAGGCAGAAUUGCCUCUGGUUUCAGGGCUAGACUGUGUUUCUUUCAGUGGCCCUUUUUAGCCUUUUGGCUCAGAUUCAGGGUCAGGGAGUAUUUCCUUCAAUGGUUCUGAUUCUAGGGAUAAAGUAUGUUUCUUUGGCUCUGGUUUCAGGGUCAGGGUGUGUUGCUUUGGAUCUGGUUUCAAAGCUAAAGUGUUUCUUUCACUGGCUUGAUUUCAGGGCCAGGGUGUGUUUCUUUCACUAGCUCUGGUUUCUAAGCCAGAGGGUGUUUCAUUCACUGGCUCUUCUUUCAGAGCCAGGGUGGGUUUCUUUUAUGGUCUCUGGUUUCUGAAUAAGGGUGAGUUUCUUUGAGUGGCCCUUUUACCCUACAUUUGUCCCAAAGGAAACAUGGCUUAGCCUUCACCUUGAUGGCUUUCAUGAUAUGAGAAAGGGGGUGGGGAGGAUAGAAAUAAGACCUAUUCAGUGUGCCUUCCUCUCUUUCCCAGUCUUGUAACAACUCAUGUUUUCUAUAUGGUGCAAUGCUUAUUUUUGUGUGUCAAUGACUGGAUGUAUAGAGAAGCAAGAUGUCUUAAAUGAUUUCUCUGUUUCUGUGAUCAUACACCGACCAAAAGCACCUGGAGAAGGAGCGCUUUUAUUUGGGUUACAGGUGACAUUCCAUCAUCCAGUGAAACCAAGUCAGGAUCCUGAAAUCAGGAGUUGAACCAGAGACUAUGAAGGACCUCCACUUGCUGUCUUGCUCCACAGCAGAGUGGAACAUCAUUUGGAGGAGGAACAUCACUUGCUCCUAUGGUACUCGCUCCUUUUGAAAAAUUAAUUUAGUUCCAAUUAACAUAUACUUACAUCUUUUUCCUCUCCUCCCUGUAACAUUCCACAUUCACUCUCAUGCUGCCUAAAGCUAUCUCUGGGUCUGUGGUUCUACCACAACUGGGGUCUUUGUUGAUGUCCAUGUUGCCACUAAGGUCAUGGGGAUACCUUGGAUCUAGGCUGCCAACUGUGGUUGGUCAUUUUGGUGUUAGACUGCCAUGCCACUCUUGGGAGCAUGUAGAUAUGAGUGGAGUGUGCUGCUCCCUGGGGUCAUGGUGACAUCCAGUUAUGAGCUGCUGCCAAGGGUCAUGCAUGAUUGGGUCCACAGCACUGCAGCAGCUAGAGUCUGAUUGAUGUCCAUGGCUGCUGUUACCACCAAGGUCAGUGUGGAUGCCUGGGGUCUGGAUAGCCACAUGAGACCCAGUUCACCAAAAGCUCUAAAUAUCUGGCCUCCUUUAGAAAGGGGUGGUUCAUCACAGCAAGUUCAUCCUAUUGACUUCAAGUCUGUUCUUAAAUAACCCUUAACAUCCACCUUCUGUCUCACAGGUAUUUCAGUGGAACUUCCAGUGGAACUUCUCAAAAAUAUCAGGUAUUUUCUGUCCCUAUAAAUUGAGGCAGACAAUACUCAUUUUCUGUGGGUCUAUGACCAGCAGACUCCAGUGUACAUCUAGAUGUAUUGGCACAAUGAUAAUUUCCUUUGCAAAGAGGUUUACUACCUGGGUCCAUCUUUGGACUGACUUGUAGCCCCCAGACUUUAAUGUCGUGGAAUGGAAAGUACUAAAUGAAUGAACCUUUGGAUGUCCUUGAGUUUUAUUACUUUUCAUGUGAAAUUUCAUAUCAAAAUUGAUGACUUCACUUUUAGCCAUUUGCCGUCCUUUGGUGUCUACAAGACUCUUCUAGUAAUUCUCAAGUUCAAGGCACAACUUAAAAUCUCAUCUUCUGGCUUCUGACCUAGUGCACCUCUGAUUUUCUUUUUCACAUUUGCUGUGACGUCAGAGCUCUCCUGUGUCCUCUGCCCAUCUCUUGGUCCUCAAGAGCCUUUUCUUUUUUCUCAGGUAUACAUAGCAAGAUGUGGUAGUAUAGCAUGCCAUUGCUGACACUGUCUAUGCAGAUUGGGCAAUCGGUUCCUCCCAGAAUGUCUGGCUGUGGGUGGUGUCCUCUUCUGGUCAUUUUCUAGAAUUAUUCCAGUGCUCUGCUAUGUAUCCAAAUUUUAAUCCUCUUAACUCUCCUUUCCACUUUUGACUCACUAGUGACAUUCUCUUGUGACAGGACAGGCAGAUUAUUUGAUUUAAAUAGAAACUGCCACACAGUCUUUGUUCUUCUUAUAGGUGUCCACAGGGCUUGUGUGAGCUCUGCAAGGGUCAGAGUCUACAUGAUCACCGGUUAGAAGGUGUUCCAACAACCUUAGUUACGUUUCCUUGUGGUGUUUCUGAACACAUUCCCCUGUGUUUCAGUAGGUGAGCUUGUGACACCAUGCACAAUGUCACCUCAUCACAGCUUCUUCCUGAUGGCCUUCAACAUACUCUUGCUGCGUUAGCUGUAUCCAACACUCUUCCUGGGUUUUCCAUAUCUGACCCCGGCCAGGCUCUUCAUACCUAAUCUCUGUUUCAUCCUGUUCCUGUUUCAACCUCUUCCAAAGCUUGGCUGGCUCUUCAGACUACCUAUAGAUGAGUCUCUCUUCCUGGUAUUUCCUUUUUCAAACUUUUCCUGGAUUUUCAGGGUUCAUGAUUCUAUGCUUCUGGUGAGGUUGCCAUGUAGAAUGGCUACUUGAAUUGCUCUGCUCAGGUGCUGGCUGGCUGCUGUGGUAGAACUUUCUGAUUUCCACAUCAAUGUGUCUGUCAGCCCACUUCCAACGACUUUUCUUGUGUCAUUCUCUCGAUGGCUGAGGGAUCACUAUAUCCAAAAGGAGAUGUCUUAUCCACACUGGACAUGUUGGUUUUCACCCAGGAACCACUGGGUGAAGAACUCAGUCUUCCUCUUUAUCAGUGGGCUUUGCUGUUUUUUUUUUUUUUUCACAGCAUCAGUGAAUACUUUUCAGCUGGUUAAUCUAUCAAUCUAACCUUGCUUUUAAAGUAGCAUUUGACCAGUCCUAGUGUAGAAAACUCCAUGAACUUCAGGAACUGCAUUUUCUGCUGGGGAGAAGGGGGGCUCCAGGAUACCGUGAACCCCGGUAGACCCCCACAUUUUCAAAACACACUGAACCGUAAAGUAUCUCAAAGGUACUUGGCAUUGUAGCCAUGCAAUGGUGGCUAGGCUGCUGUGAGCCUCAUCUAUUGCCCUGGCUAUGGGCUUCCAGGUUUCAUAGCUGGUUUUGAUGCAGUUUCAUAAUUCAUGGUAACAUUUUAUGGUGAGUUGAGGUUGUGUACACCAACCUCCAGGUCAAGGGUCUCAAAGCUGUUUUCCAUCCCUGGAGUUCCUGUUGGUCUGUGCCUGUCCCAGAGGCUGAAGAAAACCCAAGGUGAUUCAGAACUCAAGAAGGCAGAAGUAUAGCUCUGACUCCAGGAAGGGAGAAGAUAUUGGAAAGAACAGUUGAUUCACUUCAUUUUUCUGAAGUGCAAGUCUAGAAAAAAUGUAUCCUUGGACAGACUUAUCCAUGCCUCUUACCCUCUGCGGUACAGAGGAUUGUAUGUAGAGUUACAUCUCUCUCUCUCUCUCUCUCUCUCUCUCUCUCUCUCUCUCUCUCUCUCUCUCCCUUUUGUUGCUAUCUUUUAUUGAAAAUAGAUUCUUUUCUUGUGAUCUUAAAAACUCUGACUGUUGCAACGUAUUUUAUUGCUUCAGCUAUUCCUACAAGGUAAUUUGUCACAAGAUUAAACAAGCUAACAGCUAAGUUCUGCUUUGGUGUGAAACGCUUGCUUGAUUGGAUGGCUGAGUCCUCUGCUAGACAUCUGUUACAAAGUCAACCUUUGCCAACACACAGGCAGCACAUGAGAAAAUAUGGCUCCACCAAAUUAUAUCUUUGUGGGUUUUUCCAUUUUUAAAAAAGAAUUUAUUUUUAUUUAAUGUUCCUUGGUGUUUUGUCUGCAUGUAUAUCUGUGUAAAGUUAGAGAAUUCCCUGGAACUGGAGUUAUAGACAGAUAUAAGCUGCCAUGUGGGUGCAAGGGAUUGAACCUGAGCCCAUUGGAAGAGCAGACAAUGCUCUUAACUGCUAAGCUAUCUCUCCAGUUCAGUCUUUACUUUUAAAAUCCUUGGGCUAAAAAUAGCCAGGGCCUUGUCUGGCAAACUCUCUCUGGUUUGGUCCUAGAUAAUAUCAUUUUCAUAAAAAGCCACUAAUUUACAAAACUCAAAACUUGCGUCACACUGGUGAAUGUUUGAAUGAUCUCAAACCUAAAACAUUUUGAGGCCCCAGUGAGAUCUUGGCAUUCAGACAGUAGCUGUCAGUUUUUUUCUGACUGGGCUUGGUUCCCCAGAAACUCUCAGGCAGGGGGCUUAUGGAAUGGCAAGGCCUAGUCAUUGGGGGACUCAUGGCAGUUACCCAAAGCCUGACCUCACAGAUAAGUAUUCAGUCCUUGAGGGCUUACAUCCUGGGGCCAAAACAAAGAUCAGAGAGUCCCAGUUCUUGUGGAUGCCACUGGUAAGUUCCUGGCCUGGAAGCCAAGGAAUCUGGAAGGUCAAGUGUUUGCAGGAGCCAUCGGCAAGAUUUUAACUGCAGAAAUUGUAAAAAGAGGCAUCUGGAAGCCUCUGGAGGUCUAGGCAAUGAUCUGUCUAUAUUAGCAUAUAGUCCUGAUAGUUGUGGGAAAGCUAAAAGCAGCAUUAUUUCCUAACUCUGAGGGCUCUGAGAACUCUGGGCACUCUAGGUUGGGUCUGGAAGACAAAUUUGGAAGAAGGGUGUGGUCUCUACGUUGUAGUGUCUGAUGUUUCUUUUCUGUUUCACUUUGCUGUUUUGUGUGUUAUUGUUUUUGAAAAAUCUGAAAUGAUGGGUCAAAAGUCUUUCACUCAGGAGACCCUCUGAACCUGAUGAAAUCUUACUUUUAGGACUACCAGAGAAAAACUCAGGAGUCUGGCGAACAGGUCUAUGUAAGAAAACCAGUUACUUUUUGUUCCUUUGAUUGGCCUUAUUCCAUGUGGGCUAUCCAGAUGAAGGCUCCUUUAGCCUUUCUCUUAUUUAGAGGGCACACCAUGGAGAUUUUAGUUAACGAAGGCAUUUGGACAUACUGUCCUACAUUCUGGCCUGGAUAUUCCUGGUACAGGAUUCCCCAUCCUUGAUAAGGAAGUACCAGCCAAAUUCUCCCUCAAAGAGACCCUUUAAUUUCAGAAGAAAUAAAUGAAAUCAAAGGGUAGGACAAUGUCUGGCCCACAGUCUUAUCAGUUCUCCUUGAGUAGAAAAAUGGCUGCCACCCUUUGCACCAGUACAGGCCACAAAGUGAAACAAUCCAAUGGCCCUUCUCACUCUCCCAGUCAUUUCUCACUCCCCCAGGUAGGUUGCAACAGGAUAAAUUUCCCUUGGAUCUCCCCAGUGUGCUUCACUUUGGUCCCUUAAUCCAGCCAUUCUCCUCUUGACAGACCUUCUCACGGGGAGCAACCGAGAGGGAAAAGGAGGGAAUGAGAGAAAGUCACCAGUCACUUACGAUACAUGGUCCUUUCACCACUAUAUAGUUAUCUAUAUAAUUGGAAAUCUCAAAAACCUCCCUUUCCCAGGAAAGCCCCCAAAGCUUGAUUUCUCCACAAGAAAUGAUGGUUUACAAACACAAGCUAACUUGGUCAUACUGUCAGCAGCUACUUCAAACCCUCUUCACAACCUAGGAGAAGAAAGAAUUCAUCAGCAAGCCCAGAAACAGGUCAUUGGAAAUGAUGGGCAAUCAGCAACUGAGCCUGUGAUUAUCAAAGAAGUUUUCCCUGCCAAACAGCUGGAUUGGGACCUAAGUUCUGGUGAGGUAGGAAGUCUCUCAACCACUUUUGCCAGACUCUGGUAGGGGGGUCUCCGGGCAAUACCAGACAGCCCACAAAUUUAUCUGAGGUAAGCCAGAAAACUCUGGGUUCAGAUGACUCCCAUUUGCCUCCUCGAGGCCUUUCAGACCUACACUCCAACUGAGCUGGAGACCAUAGGAGACCAGAGACUAUUUAUUCACUUGGCUUGUGUUUCCCAGUCAGCACAAGAUAGAAAUUAGGAAGUAAAUUCAGAAAAUAGAAGGGUUGAAGGAAAAGUAUUGUCAGAGUUAGUUGAGAAUGUUUCCCAGGUAAAUCAUAAGAAAAAUACCCGAGAGGAUGGACGGACUAGGAAACCAGCUAAGGUUAUGGUGGCCACCUACCAACCAGAAAGAUCCUGGCUUUGAGGAUCUGCAAGGGAAGGACAAAGAGUGAGUGAAGACGACAUAAAAAAUGAACGCUUUUGGGGAAAAACCAAUAUGCACAAGGCAAGGAGACCAGCCAUUGGAAAGACAAAAGCCCAAGAUGUACUUGAUGUGCACUCUGAUGGAAAAUGGACCUCUUGAAAAAUGAAUGCCUGAACAGACAACACAGGUCUGCAUCUGUGUACCAGCUAUGGACAGACUGAUGAGAUCUGGUUUCUGCUGCCCCAGAUCCCAGGAUUACUUUGAUAGUGUGUGUGAGUGCUCCCAUUAACUAUCUGGAUGUCAUGGGAGCCACCUGCUGGGUUCUAAAAUGGACAGCAAGCCAAUAAGUGAGAAAUGAUAAUAUAAGGAGCUACCAGUUAACAGAUCUGCUCCUGGACCACCUAAAAUCUGUAGAUAUGCAAAGGGGGACAGCCUCCCACUCAUUCCUGGGAACACCCUCUCCUGGAAGUGAUCUGCACCACAAACUAUGGACAGAAACACAUUUUGAAAAGAUGAGGUCUUAAUAGAUUUAAAACAUCCAAAAUUAUUAAAUAAUAUUAUGCUAACCAUGCCACUGUGAGAAGAGUAUAUCCUAUUAAACAACCCUCUUCUGGAUUAAGAUUUAGACUUAUUAAAAAUGUUCUUAUUUCUGUGCUGAAACAAACCCACCAGGACUAGCAUUCCUCCAAACACCUGUCAAAGUAGAACUGAACAGCAAUGCUACUCCUCUCUAGGUAAGCAAUAUCCUAAAACUUAGGAAGCAAAACAUGGAAUCAAAGCUCAUAUUAACAGGCUUCGUGAAACUGGCACAUUGGUCCCUUGCCACUUCCCUUGGAAUCCUCCAUUGCUGCUUGUGUGAAAACCAGGAACAGAGAAUUAUAGGCCAGUACAAGACCUGCAGGAGAUAAACAAGAGAGGACAGGAUAUUCAUCCAACAGAUCCUAAUGCACACAGACUCUUGAGUUCACUCCCUUUCUACCUCUUCUACCCUGAUAUGCAGGUCUACAGUGCUAGAUAUGAAGGAUGACUUCUUCGGUAUUUCUGUUCAUUAAAUCAAGUCAACUGAUAUUUGCCUUUUAAUAAAUAGAUAUGGAAAAUAGAACAAUGACCAAUUAAAAUGGACUAGAUUGCCUCCAGGUUUUAAAAAUUUUCCAACACUGUUUGAUGAAGCCCUCCACAGAUAUGUGCAAGCAUUCAGAUCCAAGACUGAAAAUGUCAUGUUCUUGCAAUACAUGGAUGACUUCCUUCUGGCAGCAGAAUCUGAGGAUCAAUAUCUCCACACCACAAAUUGACUAUUAGAAACACUGCAACAACAGGGACAUUGGGUCUCUACAAUAAGGGCUCAGCUCUGCACCCCUAAGACUAAGUACCUGGGGAUGAACAGCAGGAAGGGAAGAGAUUGCUUUCCACUCACAGAAUCCAGUCAAUUACUCAGAUCCCAAAUCCUCAGACACAAAGAUAAUUCUAGAUGUUCCUUUGGAUGUAGAUUAUUGCUGGGUCUGCAUACUCAGGUGUGCUGAGUUGGCCAAGCCAUUAUACCUUCUACUUGGGGCACCGAGGAAGCCUUGAGCUGGUCUCCAGCAGUGGAGGAGGACUUUGGGAGUUAAAGUAGCCUCUGGUUUGGGCUUCAACAUCAGCCCUACCUGAGGUAGCCAUGUGAUUCUACCUAUUUGUGGAUGAGAGUAAAGGCAUUGCCGGGGAUGCUAACACAAAACUGAGACCCUGGUCAUGUCCUGUUGCCUACCUCUCUAAGAAACUGGAGCCAGUAGCAGCAGGAUAACCAGUAUGUCUUGGAGUUAUAGCCACCAUGGUUCUCCUAACAAAGGAAGUGAAAAAGCUGACUCUGGGAUAAGAUCUCUUGAUGAUGGCCCCACAUGAAGUGAACCUCUCUUGAGAAGGACUCCAGACAAAUAGAUGACUAACUCUCCUGUUGUCAGACCUGGUUUCUAGAUUAGACAAGAAUCACAUUUCAUCAAACAGCUGCCAGAAUCAAUGAUGCUGCCAUCCAAUUUGAUGGCUUCCAGGUCAACACCACAUUUUAGGAACUGAGGCCAGAUGUGAUAGAUGUCCCAUGUAAUCAAUCAGUUUUGGUCAUUUCCCAUGGUUUCUGGUGGUACCAGUUUCAUCUAGGGAAGAAGAAGGUAUCUUGGGGCAGGUGAAGUGACCAUAGAUCACAUCUUUGGACAGAUAUCCUUCCCCCAGGGACUUCAUCUCAGACAGGAGAAUUUGUUGUACUCACUGAGGCUCUCUAAUGGGAAGAGGAAGACUAUAAAAAUAAUGCUGAUAGUAGAUAGGCCUUUCCCACUGCACAUGAGCAUGGACUAUCCUCAUGGAGAGAGGCCUCUUAAGACCAGAGGGAAAUGUUAUAAAAAAAAAAUAAAACAGUGAUCUCAGUCCUGUUAGCUACAAUUUCAGCCACAAAAAUAGUUGCUACCAUACACCAUGAAGUAGAUUCAUAGAGAUAACAGAAAUAGGCUGAUGAGGUGGCCAGAGAGACUGCCUCAAAAGCAGUAAAAAAAAAAAAAAAGCCUUCCACCCCAGACCCCCUUCUGCUGAUAAGCCAUAUCACUCA